CGUAAGUCCGGGAAGGAAGAAGGAAGACGGGGAGCCAGGAAGGAAGUAGUGGAAGGCAGCGGCAGUGAGUGUGCUCAUUCUGCCUACUUGAGGAUCAAGAUGUGAACGCUCAGCCACCAUGACUCUAACCAUCUGAAACUCUGCCUGUGGAGACCAGAAGAAGGCAUCAGAUCUCCUGGAGCUGGAAUUAUAGAAAGUGAUGAGCCACCAUGCAGGUGGGAAUUGAACUCAGGUCCUAUGGAAGGAAGAGGAGCCAGUGCUCUCAGGUGCUGAACCAUCUCCACCCCAGUGAAAACCAAUCAAAAUAUUUUUAAUCAGACACACUAAGUUUGAUUAAAACUUUGAAGUUAAUUAUUUUACUCAUUGUAACACAGUUUAGUACCACU